AUUGAACGCUAGCGGGAUGCCUUACACAUGCAAGUCGAACGGAGUGGCGAACGGGAGAGUAAUGUAUCGGAACGUGCCCAGUAGCGGGGGAUAACUACGCGAAAGCGUAGCUAAUACCGCAUACUAUUGGAGCGGCAGAUAACUGAUUAGCUAGGUGGUGGGGUAACGGCUCACCAGGGCGACGAUCCGUAGCUGGUUUGAGAGGACGACCAGCCAAACUGGGACUGUGACACUGCCCAGACUCCUCAUGGAGGCAGCAGGGGGGAAUAUUGGACAAUGGGGGAAACCCUGAUACAGCCAUCCCGCGGGUGCGAUGAAGGCCUGCGGGUUGUAAAGCACUUUUGGCAGGAAAGCGGUACCUGCAGAAGAAGCACCGGCUAACUACGUGCCAGCAGCCGCGGUAAUAC
rnacentral:rRNA from 1 species